GACCUCCUUCCAAAGAGUACAGUAUGAAGUGGAGUAACUAUCCAGCGGAGAAAACUGACAGACGCAACCUCAGCCACAGUGGAGGUCAACAUCAAGUACACUUGCUACACUCCUUGAAUGUAAGAACACUACCAUCUUGCAUUUCCUCAGAAUUCCCAUAAUAAAUAGCACAACGCUGGAUACAAGCCCAAUCACUGGCCUGUCCCUCACAGAACCCACUAAUCUAAAAUGAAAGCAGCAUCACGCAGAUUGAAAAUGGGAAAGCAACAGAAAAAAAGAAAUCCUCCAGGCAUCCUAGGAAGCAUCUCUGCUGUGGUUUGAAUGUGCCCCCCAAAUUUCACACGUUAUCAAUUUAAUCUACAAUGCUACAAUAUUGAAAGGCGAGGCUUUUAAAGAAGUGACUGCAUCAUGAGGGCUCUGUCUUCACAAAUGGAUGCAUGGAUUAAUGGGUUAUCAUGGGAGCGGAACUAAUGGCUUUAUAAGAAGAGGAAGAGAAACCUGAGCUAAAGCACUCACAGCCCCCUCACCAUGUGAUACCCUGCACCACCUCAGGACUCUGCAGAGAAUGCCCACCAGCUAGAAGGCUCUCACCAGAGGUGGCCCUUUGACUCUGGACUUCUUGCCCCUCACGACUGUAAGAAAAAACAUUUCUUUUUAAAAUAACUUAUCCAGUUUCAGGUAUUCUGUUACAAACAAAAGAAAAUGGACUAAUACACUCUUGCUGCCAACUGGGGGAAAGUGACAGUUAAGGUGAUAUAUUCCCAAGUGCUUCAGACUCCAAAUCACGAAGAAUUUCAGAGCUAGCCAGAUUCUCUCAUGGUUCUGCUCAGAACGUUUCAUAAGGAUGACCUUGCAAACUGAAGCUUUCAACCUGGUCUGGGUACCUUAAGAAUAUUUUAUGAACAAUCAAUCCACCGAACUGUACUCAUCAGCAGACCCCGGUUAACUGCACAGUGUACCUGAAAGCCAUCCCUUGUCUGAAUUCGCACAGAAAGGUUUCAGAGCCAUGGCACUGUGACGGAAGGAAAGGAGGUGUGGACCACACCUCAUGAGAUGUGCAAACAACGUGGCUCACGACAAACCCAGCAGAAUGCUCAAUCUUUAGAAACCCAACAUGGUUACAGCAAUACAGACCAUAACAACUUUUGGCAAGGACAUGGAGAAACUGAAACCCUCAUAUAUUAUUGGUGGGAUUAUAAAAUAAUGUAGCCACUCUGGAAAACAAUCUAGCAGUUCCCCAAAAUGUUUAACAUAAAAUUACCACGUCUCAUACAUUCUGCUCCUAGGUAUAUAGCCAAGAGACUUAAAAAUCUACAUCCACACCAAAACAUGAAUGUUCAAAGCAGUAUUAUUCAUAAUAGUCAAAAAGUGAAAACAUAAUAUCCAACAACGGAUGAAUGGGUAAACAAAAUGUGAUAUACCUACAUAAUGGAAUAUUAUUUGGCAAUAAAAAGAAAUUAAGUACUGAAUUCAUGCUACAACAUGGGUAAACCUUGAAAACAUUAUGAUAUAAAUGGAAGAAGUCAGAUACAAAAGAUCACAUAUUGCCUGAUUCUAGUUUAUAAAAUAUCUGGAAUAGAGAUAGAAAAACAAAUCCAAAGACAGAAAGUUGAUUAGUCGUUUGCCAGAAGCUUUGGACAGAGAGGAUGGGGAGUGACUGCUGAUGGGUACAGAGUUUCUUUUCAAUACAAUGAAAAUCUUCAAAAUUUAGACAGUGGUGAUGAGUAUACAACUCGGAAAAUACAAAAAAAACCCACUUAAUUGUAUACUAUAAAAUGGAGAAUUUUAUAAUUCAUGA